UACGUAGGGUGCAAGCGUUGUCCGGAAUUAUUGGGCGUAAAGAGCUCGUAGGCGGUCUGUCGCGUCGGCUGUGAAAACCCGGAGCUCAACUCCGGGCCUGCGGUCGAUACGGGCAUCACUGGAGUUCGGCAGGGGAGACUGGAAUUCCUGGUGUAGCGGUGAAAUGCGCAGAUAUCAGGAGGAACACCGGUGGCGAAGGCGGGUCUCUGGGCCGAUACUGACGCUGAGGAGCGAAAGCGUGGGGAGCGAACAGG
rnacentral:rRNA from 1 species